CAGAGGGUGCGAGCGUUGUCCGGAAUCACUGGGCGUAAAGGGCGCGUAGGCGGUCUGCUAAGCGUGCGGUGAAAGCUCGGGGCUCAACCCCGCGUCGGCCGUGCGAACUGGUGGACUGGAGCACUGUAGAGGCAGGUGGAAUUCCGGGUGUAGCGGUGGAAUGCGUAGAGAUCCGGAAGAACACCGGUGGCGAAGGCGGCCUGCUGGGCAGUAGCUGACGCUGAGGCGCGACAGCGUGGGGAGCAAACAGGAUUAGAUACCCUGGUAGUCCACGCCGUAAACGAUGGGCACUAGGUGCUUGGGGGAGCGACCCUCUGAGUGCCGGCGCUAACGCAUUAAGUGCCCCGCCUGGGGAGUACGGCCGCAAGGCUG
rnacentral:rRNA from 1 species